GACAGAGGUGGCGACCGUUGUUCGGAAUCACUGGGCAUAAAGCGCGUGUAGGCGGCAUGGUAAGUCGGGUGUGAAAUCCCUCGGCCCAACCGAGGAAUUGCGCCCGAAACUACCUUGCUUGAGGACCAGAGGGGAGCCUGGAAUUCCUGGUGGAGCGGUGAAAUUCGUAGAUAUUCGGAAGAACACCAGUGGCGAAGGCGACUCACUGGACACGUAUUGACGCUGAGGUGCGGAAGCGUGGGGAGCAAACAGG
rnacentral:rRNA from 1 species